rnacentral:misc_RNA from 1 species
AAGGCAAGGUGAAAAAAAAAAAGGCCACAACAAACCAAAAACAACAAUACAACACAAAAGCAAGGGGUCUAUGGUUGGGAAAAAUGACUUCCCAUUCUCAUUUUCCCUUGAAAAGGAAGCAUUUUCCAUGACAAAGAAAAUGUUUUCCCCAUUCUCAAUUUUUUUUAUGUGACUGCCAAACAAUGGAAAACAAGGAAAAUAUUUUUUUACAAAACAAAUAGAUCCUUAGAUUGUAAGAAUUCGCAGAUAACACAUCAAACCUUUUCAAUUAAAAAAUGCAACACCACUAUUGGGAUUAUAAAUCCCACAUCAG